rnacentral:rRNA from 1 species
GUUUGAUCCUGGCUCAGGACGAACGCUGGCGGCGUGCUUAACACAUGCAAGUCGAACGGUGAUGACGGGGCUUGCCUUGUCUGAUCAGUGGCGAACGGGUGAGUAACACGUGAGUAACCUGCCCCAGACUCUGGGAUAACCCCGGGAAACCGGAGCUAAUACCGGAUAUGACGCCAACGGGCAUCCGUAUGGUGUGGAAAGUUUUUCGGUCUGGGAUGGGCUCGCGGCCUAUCAGCUUGUUGGUGAGGUAGUGGCUCACCAAGGCGACGACGGGUAGCCGGCCUGAGAGGGCGACCGGCCACACUGGGACUGAGACACGGCCCAGACUCCUACGGGAGGCAGCAGUGGGGAAUAUUGCACAAUGGGCGCAAGCCUGAUGCAGCGACGCCGCGUGAGGGAUGACGGCCUUCGGGUUGUAAACCUCUUUCAGCAGGGAAGAAGCGCAAGUGACGGUACCUGCAGAAGAAGCACCGGCUAACUACGUGCCAGCAGCCGCGGUAAUACGUAGGGUGCGAGCGUUGUCCGGAAUUAUUGGGCGUAAAGAGCUUGUAGGUGGUUUGUCGCGUCUGCUGUGAAAAUCCGAGGCUCAACCUCGGACUUGCAGUGGGUACGGGCAGACUAGAGUGUGGUAGGGGAGACUGGAAUUCCUGGUGUAGCGGUGGAAUGCGCAGAUAUCAGGAGGAACACCGAUGGCGAAGGCAGGUCUCUGGGCCAUUACUGACACUGAGAAGCGAAAGCAUGGGGAGCGAACAGGAUUAGAUACCCUGGUAGUCCAUGCCGUANACGUUGGGAACUAGGUGUGGGUCGCAUUCCACGUGAUCCGUGCCGCAGCUAACGCAUUAAGU